rnacentral:rRNA from 1 species
UGGGGAAUAUUGGGCAAUGGGCGAAAGCCUGACCCAGCGACGCCGCGUGGGUGAUGAAGGCCUUCGGGUUGUAAAGCCCUGUCAUGCGGAAAGAACGACCCUGAGACGCAUACUCUCAGGGAGUGACGGUACCGCAGGAGGAAGCACCGGCUAACUCCGUGCCAGCAGCCGCGGUAAUACGGAGGGUGCAAUCGUUGUUCGGAAUUAUUGGGCGUAAAGGGCGUGUAGGCGGUAAUGUAAGUCAGAUGUGAAAUACUCCGGCUCAACCAGAGAACAGCAUCUGAACCUGCAUAACUAGAGUACAGAAGAGGGAAACGGAAUUCCCGGUGUAGAGGUGAAAUUCGUAGAUAUCGGGAGGAACACCAGUGGCGAAGGCGGUUUCCUGGUCUGAUACUGACGCUGAGGCGCGAAAGCGUGGGGAGC